rnacentral:rRNA from 1 species
AGAGUUUGAUCCUGGCUCAGAAUUGAACGCUGGCGGCAUGGGCUGGUUAAACAUGCAGUCGAACGCUUGUAGCAAUACAAGAGUGGCGAAAGGGCGAGGAAUAGAUUCCUAUGUACCUCAAGGUCGGGGAUACCCCGGAGAAAUCCGGAUCAAUACCCGAUGUGGUCGAGAGAUCAAAGGUUUACCGCCUUGAGAGCAGGGAAUCUCCUAUCAGGUAGUUGGUGAGGUAAUGGCUCACCAAGCCGAAGACGGGUAGCGGGUGUGAGAGCACGGCCCGCCGCAUCGAGACUGAGACACUGCUCGGACUCCUACGGGAGGCUGCAGUAACGAAUCUUCCGCAAUGCGCGAAAGCGUGACGGGGCAAUGCCGCGUGCAGGAUGAAGCCCUUCGGGGUGUAAACUGCUGUCAGGGUGCAGGAAAGAAAUGACCAUACCCAAAGGAAGCACCGGCUAACUCUGUGCCAGCAGCCGCGGUAAUAC